CAGGCUUUUCCAUUCUGACAUCGACCCUGGAAUUAAUUGUGGAGACCAGAUUUUUUUUCAGCUCAGAUGAGGCUCUAGCUACAUCACCAAGACUGCACCCUUUGAAUUCUCUCAGAAUUCCCUCAACCCAGUAUUUACAGAGCUGGGAUGUUUUAGUACAGCAGACAGACAAAUUUCCUCCCAAGCCGUGAUCAAAAUCAACAGUAAAAUAAAAAAACAAACCAGUUCAAGGUGGAAAUUUAUAGAGAUGACAUCUGCCACUUUUUUUUUUUUUUAAUGAGAUGUCAAUAUAUACAGGGAAAUCAGCCAAAUUACAGGGUGGUGGUCUUUGUUCUUUUGUACUACCCCACUAUUAGUGUAUAUCCCAGGAAUACACUAAUAGUGACCACAGUGACUAAACAUUCUUGGUUUUUCUAGAUUUAGACAUGAGGCUGACUGGGUUCUGUAUAGAGCCAGCGUCUUGAAGAGCAUCAUCUGUGGAAUGUUCUGCGGUGACCGUCAUGUCUGCUCGCGCAGCAUCCCUAACCACCCUUAGCAGCUGAGCACUUGAAAGGUGGCCAUUGCGACUGAGAAACUGAAUUUUAUAUCUUUUUUUAUUUUGAUUAAAACUUCAAAAGACACAUGCAACUACUGCAUAUUGGUCAGCAUAGCCGUAGAAAAUGAGGGACGUGAGUCAGCUCUGCCAUGAAGUCCUCUUUGUGAACUACGUGAGCAAAGGGCAGCCCGUACUCACAGGAGCUAGAGACGGGUCCACCCUGAAUGCUCUGCACCCUCAGCAUGAGGGGGGGCUGUACUCCUGCCUUCCAAGUCAAGCUUGCUCUUGUUGGUUUUGCUUUCACAUUUUUAAAACCUUCUAGUCAGAAUGUGACGCAGUAUAUUGUUGCUGCUCCUGAGACUCCAUCCCCUAUUGGACCGUCUAAUUAUUCCAGAACUGCUCCAGGUCUUGGCUGGUUUGUUUGGCUUUGAAUGCACAUCCAAGGUGCUCACCGAAGAGUUCUGGCUUCAGGAGAAGGGAUUUAAAGACCCCUUCCAAGGGUCCUUCUGCUGCUCUGGUUUCCUUUUGCACCUCACACCAUUUUUGUUCAUGGCGAGUCUUAUCAUCUGACUUGCAUGAAGACCCCUGGGUCUAAAAGAAUAUUACCCCAUGCUUGUGCUUUAAAAAAGUCUUGGUUAGGACAAGACCAACGAAGAAGAGGUUUCAACCAUUAACUCACCUGCAGACACUGACCUCUUACUGAAACUGCUGAAUCUUUCCCUAUCAACAUAGAAUCUCCUGACUUUGAAUUGACCCUGAAGCUUCUAGAGCCUUCAAGGACAUCAGCAUCCUCAGGCGAGUGAGUGAACUUAUUCCUGAUGGAGCUUGGUUUCUUCUGCCCACCCUCCCCCAUCCUAAGAUUUUAAAAAUAGAUGUGAAAGGAGGGAAAGGGGGGAAACAUGCCCUGUAGCUGUGACCACACCUUUGUCCUGCCCGUACUGCCCAGCACACAUAGGGGCCUUAGGUCUGUGCAAGGAGAGGCAGACACUGAGCAUAGAAGACAGUCAGGCCACUGUCCUCGGGAAGUUCAC
rnacentral:lncRNA from 1 species